rnacentral:lncRNA from 10 species
AGGUAACAGAGGAGGGGCCUAGCCAGUCUCAGAGCCAAGGUCACACCGCCCUACACCUUGCUGUCCCCACAGCAUCUGCAGGAGGAGCAUGCCAGGACCAGAGACCCAGGGAGCAGCCUCACCAGAGGGAAAAGAGCCUGUAGAGUGGUGAGCUCAGGCUCUGGAGUGAAUGGUGAUGGAGCCUUGGCUUGGUGUGCUGGACACUUGCUUGGUGC